AGAGUUUGAUCCUCGGCUCAGAGCGAACGCUGGCGGAAUGCUUAACACAUGCAAGUCGCACGGCGUCUUUCGGGGGCAGUGGCGGACGGGUGAGUAACGCGUAGGAACGUGUCCUGGACUGGGGGAUAACGCUGGGAAACUGGCGCUAAUACCGCAUGUCUCCUGAGGGAGAAAGCCGCGAGGCGGUUUGGGAGCGGCCUGCGUCCGAUUAGCUUGUUGGUUAGGUAAUGGCUGACCAAGGCGAUGAUCGGUAGCUGGUCUGAGAGGAUGAUCAGCCACACUGGGACUGAGACACGGCCCAGACUCCUACGGGAGGCAGCAGUGGGGAAUAUUGGACAAUGGGCGCAAGCCUGAUCCAGCAAUUCCGCGUGGGUGAAGAAGGUCUUCGGAUUGUAAAGCCCUUUCGGCGGGGACGAUGAUGACGGUACCCGCAGAAGAAGCCCCGGCUAACUUCGUG
rnacentral:rRNA from 1 species